GUAGUCCACCCCGUAAACGUUGGGAACUAGUUGUGGGGUCCAUUCCACGGAUUCCGUGACGCAGCUAACGCAUUAAGUUCCCCGCCUGGGGAGUACGGCCGCAAGGCUAAAACUCAAAGGAAUUGACGGGGACCCGCACAAGCGGCGGAGCAUGCGGAUUAAUUCGAUGCAACGCGAAGAACCUUACCAAGGCUUGACAUAUACGAGAACGGGCCAGAAAUGGUCAACUCUUUGGACACUCGUAAACAGGUGGUGCAUGGUUGUCGUCAGCUCGUGUCGUGAGAUGUUGGGUUAAGUCCCGCAACGAGCGCAACCCUCGUUCUAUGUUGCCAGCACGUAAUGGUGGGAACUCAUGGGAUACUGCCGGGGUCAACUCGGAGGAAGGUGGGGAUGACGUCAAAUCAUCAUGCCCCUUAUGUCUUGGGCUUCACGCAUGCUACAAUGGCCGGUACAAAGGGCUGCAAUACCGCGAGGUGGAGCGAAUCCCAAAAAGCCGGUCCCAGUUCGGAUUGAGGUCUGCAACUCGACCUCAUGAAGUCGGAGUCGCUAGUAAUCGCAGAUCAGCAACGCUGCGGUGAAUACGUUCCCGGGUCUUGUACACACCGCCCGUCAAGUCAUGAAAGUCGGUAACACCUGAAGCCGGUGGCCCAACCCUUGUGGAGGGAGCCGUCGAAGGUGGGAUCGGUAAUUAGGACU
rnacentral:rRNA from 1 species